rnacentral:rRNA from 1 species
UGGGGAAUUUUGGACAAUUGGGCGAAAGCCUGAUCCAGCAAUGCCGCGUGUGUGAAGAAGGCCCUUCGGGUUGUAAACACUUUUGUCCGGAAAGAAAUCCUUGGCUCUAAUACAGUCGGGGGAUGACGGUACCGGAAGAAUAAGCACCGGCUAACUACGUGCCAGCAGCCGCGGUAAUACGUAGGGUGCAAGCGUUAAUCGGAAUUACUGGGCGUAAAGCGUGCGCAGGCGGUUUGCUAAGACCGAUNUGAAAUCCCCGGGCUCAACCUGGGAACUGCAUUGGUGACUGGCAGGCUAGAGUAUGGCAGAGGGAGGUAGAAUUCCACGUGUAGCAGUGAAAUGCGUAGAGAUGUGGAGGAAUACCGAUGGCGAAGGCAGCCCCCUGGGCC